CCUACGGGCGGCAGCAGUGGGGAAUAUUGCACAAUGGGCGAAAGCCUGAUGCAGCAACGCCGCGUGAAGGAAGACGGUUUUCGGAUUGUAAACUUCUAUCAAUAGGGAAGAAAGAAAUGACGGUACCGAAAUAAGAAGCGUCGGCUAACUACGAGCCAGCAGCCGCGGUAAUACGUAGGGGGCAAGCGUUAGCCGGAAUUACUGGGUGUAAAGGGAGAGUAGGCGGCAAUGUAAGCUAUAUGGGAAAGCCCUAGGCUUAACCAAAGGAUUGCAUAACGAACUAUCUAGCUAGAGUACAGGAGAGGAAAGCGGAAUUCCUAGUGUAGCGGUGAAAUGCGUAGAUAUUAGGAAGAACACCAGUGGCGAAGGCGGCUUUCUGGACUGAAUCUGACGCUGAGGCUCGAAAGCGUGGGGAGCGAACAGGAUUAGAUACCCGUGUAGUC
rnacentral:rRNA from 1 species